UUCCUUGUGCAAUUCACACAAGGUACACCCUGCCCGGUGCCUCUCACCAAACGGGAGGUUAACGGCAGCCUUAAUCUGAGGGUAUCAAGGUAGCAUGAUAAGUUGGCGCUUAAUUGGCGUCUUGAACGAAUGGGCAAACGUGGGGGUAACUGUCUCAUGCUCAAUGAUUUAAACUAACCUGUAGGUGAAAAGGCCUGCAUGAGUAAGAGGGACGACAAGACCCCACGAAGCUUUACGUUUAUGUUCGUUGAUGAAAGGAUUGAUCAGAUGUCAACGGCACAGAAGUUUUGUUGGGGCAACAGGGGGGAAAUGUUCCUGCCCGAUAUAAUCCUAGAAAUAUCAAAUCUGGGUUUGGUGUGUUCUUUGUCUAACACGACGGAGCCGCUGCAAAUGGGGAUGUCUGAAUAAUCAGAGAUAACCUUUGUAGGCGAGCACGAUUAAGUUACUCUGGGGAUAACAGCACAAUACUCUUAAAGAGAUCCUAUCGAACAGGGUGUUUGUGACCUCGAUGUCGGCUUAGCGUAACCUCUCAGGCGCAGCAGCUGAGAAGGGUUGGUCUGUUCGCCCAUUAAUACGCUACA
rnacentral:rRNA from 1 species